UUGACCGCUAUUCCAUUUUUAACUUAGAAAACUAAAAUCUAAAAUAAUUUCCAGAGUUUCUACCAAGUCAGGUGUAUUUGUUAUUUAAAAUAUAACUAACGAGAAUUCGAUCUUGGUCCUUGAUCUAACCAUGUAAAUCUGGAAAAUAUAUUAUUUGUCUUUUUAAUUUUGUAAAUUCAAAUCAGUUAAUUUUAUUGGUUUGAGCAUUUAUAUUUUAUUGAUUGUUUUAUUAUUGCUAAAAAUGUGUUUAAAUAUAUCUUAAGUAAUGCUUAACUUUAGAAACAUAAAUUUAAACGAUUUUUAAUAUGUGUACAAUUUUGAAACAAUUUCUUAGUAUAAGAUAUUAGACAUAUGGACUAGUUAUAUGGUCCUCAUUAAGUUUUAAGGUUGGUUUUAAAGCACCGUUUUUGUUAGCAUAUUUGUUAAAAUCCUUGUUCUUCAUUUUUCUAUUUAUCUUAUCACUAUUCUGAGUUAUCGAGUGAUAAAAUGAUGGCCUUGUAUAUUUUAAAAUAUUUAAAAAUGAAAAAUAAAUGUAUUGUCCAGCAUCAUCUGUGGACCUCUUUUACUAACAAACCUUGCAUUCACCCUUUGUGGUAAAGUGUUCAAUUUAUCUCACUUUUUAUCCUCAAUUAAAGUGCCAUAUAAAAUUGAUAAAAAUUAUAUUAACAUUUAAAAAAAAGGAAAAUAGCUUGGAAAAAAAAAGAUGUUAACGCUAUUGACCAAAUCUGAUUUCUUCUUCUCUUCAUUCACGAUGAUGAAGGAAUUGACGUUGUUAACGCCAUCCAUCGGCUUCUUCUUCUUCAUCGCCCACAGAAAAGAUAGGAAGCUUUGUUUGUCAAGUUCGAGUCUCCAAUUCUAUGCUUUCAAAUCCAAUUUCGACUUCACCUUCUCCAAGCCAAAUCAAGCCAUGUUCAUCCAUGGAUUUUCUUCUUCUUCCUGCUAUUCGAACAUCACCACUGGCGUAAACCAAAAUCGAUUUUGUAGUUCUGGGAAGAAUACCAAACAACGAGGAAGAAGAUGGAGAAGGAAAAUAUUGAGCUAAAAGAUAAGUUUUUUGUUCUAACAAUACACUUUUGGCUAGAUACUAUCGUGAUUGCUUUUGGUUUUUCUGAAUCCAAUUUAGAGCUUUGGUUUCUCCUGAAAAAAUUAUGCCUGUUAAUGGAGUGUACGAAGAUGUGUGAUGUUUUGUUAAGUCUAUUACUCGGUUUGCUGUAUGAUGGCUACAAUAUUUGAUUCGUUUAAAAUGCCUUGGUUCUGGUUAUCAACCUUUCUCUGACACACAUAAUAUAUGAUACAUCAUGGUAAACUUCUUGAUAAUGUUCCAAAACCAAUUUUUCUUUUGGUUUUAUAUCUUGCUACUAUAUAUCUGUAAAACUGAUGAAUUUGAAACGGUAGACAGCCUUAUAAAUUUGCUUAUGCAAGCAGAAACACUACUAGAAAUCACACAUAGGCAGCAGAUUAAAGAGAUAGCUGACAGAGAACGUGGGUGAUAGUGCUAUGGCUCAGCAUUAUGACCAUCCUCUUCACAUACAAAUAUAUUCAAUACAAGAAUAGAGCAGUCUAUGAAGUUAAAUGAGCGACAUGAACCUUAUUUUAAUCAUACAAACCUACAUAUAGCAACAUGAACAAAAUUAAGCAAAAAUAGCAUAGCAAUAGGAGACAUGAAACAUUGAAACGAAAUUGACUCAAUUUUUAUUUUGUCACCAUCAAAAUAAAGAAACAAUAGCAUAGCAUAGCGCCCUGUUUUAAAUCUCGCUAGGCGUAAUGCGUGCGGCAAGGGUGUGCCUAGCGCCGAAUCAACUAAUCAAGAUUAUACAUAGAUUAAUCGGCGAUUUGUUUUUGUUAUGUAACUAUAUAUUUCUGUGAAUGUACCGUAAAGAUGUUGUGGCUUGGUGUUUAAUACUCAUGAAUUAAACAACAUAACCCGUGUUCGACCCUCGGUGGAGCGUUUUUUACAGAUUUUACUGUUUUUUAUUUAAUGAUGAGUAGAAACGUCAUUAAACAGUCAUCUUCUUCCUAAGGAUUUUUGGGUUUUUGCGACUGUAAACACAACGGCUGUGUAGUUUUGAUGGUUUUUGAAGCGAUUUUCUUUGUUUUUCUUGUUGUUCUUGUUUAAGAUUUCAUAGAUCUAACAUAGAUGACUCGAUUUUUAGACUAAAAAAUAAAAACUUAAGUUUUUUUUUAAAUCCGAUUUCUUCACUGUAUAGCUUCAACCGCCACGCUAGAUCACCGUUGAGCGUUUUCUCGGCCGCCGAUUCGGCUAGGCGGCCGAGUUUUCGAACAGGGGCAUAGCGUAAUUGACUCAAUCUUCUAUUGUUAUGUUCUUACAUAGACGUGACAAAAGAAGAACUAAAGAAUAUCAAAUAUGAUCGUACAUAGAUGUGAUUAAAGAAGAUCUAACAACUCUAAGCUUAUAACUAUAUGAUCGCGACAAACAAUAAUUAAAAUUGAGGUUAAUUAAAAUUGAGGUUAAUUAUGUUGCUCUAACGAAUUGACGUGAACUAAAAAACAUUAAAAAACUUGAAAGAGGAUAAGAGAGAGUAGUGCAACGUACCGAUACAAAAACGUAGCUCGAACAAGUAAGUCACACUAAGAGUUACUUGGGAGCCGCUUCCUGUUCUAAUUUUUUUAAGAGAAGUCUUGAAACAAGGGACCCAACAAAAAGCUCUUUGUAUUCUUCUCAAAACUGUUAACGGUGGCGUUCCUCUUUUCCAAGCUAUUUUUUUUUAUUAAAAAAUUUAAUACCUUUUUUUACUAAUCUUGCAUGACAGUUAGAUUGGUGAUAAGAAAUGAGGUGAAUUAGACACUUCAUCACAUGGGGUAAAAAUUUUUUGUGUUCCUCUCUUACAGUGAGGCUGAUAAACUCCCUCUCAAAAUUGAUGGCAAUGUUUUACUCUUAUUUUGGUAGCAAAUCAAAUAUUAAUUUCACUUUUUUUAUAAAAUUUGGGACACGUAAAAUACUGUUAACUAAUAAAUAAAUUUGACAUCUAACAAUAUUAAAAGGGGAAUAUGAAGCCCUGUCAACUAUGCCACGUCAGAUUGGAAAAUCAGCCUAUCAGAUAUCAUGUUAUUACCACGUCAUCAUCGAACUGGUCUUAGAUUUUGGGGUUUAACAAAAAAAAAGGGGUCCAAUUCAAGCUAUGUCACGUGUAGGAAGCAUAAACUUUUGAUCUUCUCCGACUGAUCAAGAUCUCUCCACUUCGCCGUUACUGUAACUCACUUUCAAGAAUCUAUUAUGCUCUUUAAACCUUCUUUAAUGGUUUCGUUCCACUUCCCCUCUUUCUCUUUCUAUAUAGAGAGAUUCAUCUCAUAAUAAAUCCAUUUCUAAUCGAAAACCUCCACUGAAGAAGCUACAGCUACAGCCAUUAAAUCCACCUGGAAUUCACGAGUUGUGAACUCCUGGUACAGAAGCUUCUUACUGAUGGAAAAUCCGGUACCGUCCCAUCACAAGAAAACACUGAGAUGUUUAGAGAGGCUGUGAGUAAAUUCAAUAAUUCUUUUACUAAAGUUUGAAUCUUGGAACAUGAAUCUUUGAAUUGUGUCUAAAUCUAUAUGUUUUGUUCGUUUCUGUAUCAGACGAAAUCAAGGCUGAAGAUGUUGAUGUGAACCCUAAGAUGACGUUGCGUAUGCAUCUAUGUUCCCUUCUCUUCAGUUUAGCCUAUUCUAUUUUCGGUUUUAUUGUAUAAAAAUCAUCCCCAACUUGUAGUUUUUCCCCCCACUGAUGACACUCUUUUCUUUACAUACUAUGCAUAUGAGUGUGUGAGCUAAGCUUGCUUGAUGAAUUGUUUGGCAAUUGGUUACCUUUUGAUUAAUAGAGAUCCUUACUUUUAGAUACUAUUUGCAGGCUUACGUCAGCCCACAACAACCAUAAGUUUAUUCCCUUGUGAAGCUUCCAUGGCGGCGGCUCAAAGAUUUAAUAUGUUUCCUCUGCAAGCUUUUCUACCUUAUCUUCCUGUCUCUCCAAAUGUGUGAGGGAAUGAAAACAUAUGUGUGGUUCAUACGCCCGCCAUUCAUAGGUUUAAGACAGAAGAAGUACUGAAAAAUGAAGUUAAGAAGAGAGACCUUUUUAUAACCUUUGCCUUUGCUUUCUUCAAGAGUGAGACUCUUUGUAUCAUGCACAAUGAAGUAUAUGAAGAGAAACAGAACGCAUAUCACCCAAAUCCACAGAUCAAUACUCAAGCUCCUGCAGAAAAAAAUACCAUGUGAGCUAAAACCUCCAAAACUUGAUUGUUCGUAUUUACAGUGAUCUGUAGCUCAGAAACAAUAUUUAAUACUGAUUUGGUCAGCCGAGAACUAAAUGGGGAAUAUCUAGAGGGAGCAUCUCGAUAGAUCUGCAGUGCGGGUCCAAGCCAUGUUCAGGUCUAUGAAAGCUCAAGACGAUGAAGCUCAUGUAAGAUUAUGUUUUGAUUUUAUCAUUUUCUGAACCUCUCAGUUUAGAAAACACACACACAGACUAAAUGAUACUUGAAUAAAAAGAGUAUUUGUUUAUGGUGUGAUGCAGUUGGAGUAUGAGUUUGCAAGAUAUUUGGUCAGAAUAGCGGCUAAGAGAUGUGAAUCUAAGAGAAUUUGGUGUCGAGAUUAUAUUAACGGAAAGGGUACUCACCACCUCCGAAACUGGCUUUGGAUCAAAUAUUAUAAUGAUAUAAUCAAAUAGUUGAAGAUAGACUACUGGUUUUUGUCUUUUUGUUGAAACAGCUUCUCAGACUUGAGAUCAAGGUAUUGUUUUACUAUAUCCAUGUUGUAUUUUGGAGAUCUUUUUGGAUCAUUCACUAUGGUUUUGAUUGUGUUUAAUGAUUCAAUGUUUUUUUUUUUUGAAUCAGAAAGAACUAGCUCAAAUAUUUGAGAGAGCAAAGUCUGUGGAUCUGUAUCCUACAGAACCAUGGUAAUUUCAAGCAUUUGAUUAUUCUUUCAUGCAGCUUAGUUGUAGUGAUUGAAAGACAACUUUAGACCACUUGGUAUCCUUAAUUUUGUGGAGUAGAAGCAUGUAUGGUGCUUUUAUAGUUUUUACUUUUAUUUUCUACUAGCUUGACUGGGAACUGAUAUCACAUUAUCUGCAGGUUUCUAGUAAGUUUCUGUUCUGGAACUUUGUGUAUUUGGAACUACCGGACAUAUAUGGGUGAAUAAUUUUAUUUU